GGGUCGAAGAAAAGGAAGUUUAAACAUUAUGGUUAUGGUAUGAAAAAAAGAAAGGUUUAAUGUCUCAAUAGGUCCCUAUUUUCGUUCAAAAUUUCAAAUAGAACCCUUACUUUUUUGGCGUCUCAAUUAGGUCCUUAUUUUUGUAAGAUUGAAUCAAAUAGAGUCUUUCCGUUAAAUUGAUUAAACGAUGUUAAAUAUUAUGGAAUCUGGAAUGUUGACAGGGAUCUUUUAAUACACUUGGGUGGAAAUUUAAUUAGAGAAAGGGUAGAGUUGAGAAAUUAUUUUAUACCCUCAUUCUCUCUGCAACCCUUUCCCUUCUUACAAAGCUUCUUUCUCCAUUACUAUACACCCUGCAAAAUAAUGCCUCAUUCUUCUCUCUAAUCCUCUUCUCAACAAGGUGGCCAUGAUUCUUCUUCCUUAUUUUUUUUUUCUUUCUGUGUUCAUCUUCUUAACUCCACUCCUCUGAACAGUACCACUACAACAUGGGCGCUUGUUCAUCUGAGAAGAAAUUGCACCUUUGUCCGUGCUCAGAAAAUUAUGCUCCUCC
rnacentral:lncRNA from 1 species